GCCAGUGUGGUGUAGUGGUUUGAGCAUUGGACUGUGACUUUGCAGACCAGGGUUCAAAUCCCGGCUCAGCCA